rnacentral:rRNA from 1 species
CCCUUAGAUGUUCUGGGCUGCACGCGCGCUACACUGAAGCUAUCAACACGUUUUCCCUCCCUGAGAAGGGCGGGUAACCUUUUGAAUCAGCUUCGUGGUAGGGAUCGGGGCUUGCAAUUGUUCCCCGUGAACCAGGAAUUCCUAGUAGACGCGAGUCAUAAGCUCGCAUCGAUUAAGUCCCUGCCCUUUGAACACACCGCCCGUCGCUACUACCGAUUGAACGUUUUAGUGAGGCAUUUGGACCGACGCAUCUCAGUUUAACCGCUGGUUUGUGUUGGAAAGACUUCCAAACUUGAGCGUUUAGAGGAAGUAAAAGUCGUAACA